AUCAACGCUGGCGGCGGUGCCUCAGACAUGCAAGUCGAACGCGAAAAGUCCCCUUCGGGGGGACAAGUUAGAGUGGCGUCCGGGUGAAGUAACACGUAGGUAAUCUACCUUCGGGUGGGGAAAUAACGCAGGGGAAACUUGCGGCUAAAUACCGCAUAAUGCAGCGGCCACCACAUGGUGACAGUUGUUAAAAGCGGGGGGAUUUUCGAACCUCGCGCCUGAAGAGAGGAGCCCUGCGGCAGAUUAAGCUAGUUGGUAGGGGUAACGGCCUUACCAAGGCGACGAUCUGUAGCCGGCCCUGAGAGGGCGGUCGGCCACACUGACACUGACAUACGGGUCAGACUCCUACGGGAGGCAGCAGUCGGGGAAUUUUGGGCAAUGGGCGAAAGCCUGACCCAGCAAACGCCGCGUGAAAGGAUGAAAUCCCUCGGGAUGUAAACUUCGCAAGAAUGGGAAGAAUGGACGAGCGCUAACACCGUUCGUGAUGACGGUUACCAUUUGUAAGCUCCGGCUAACUCCGUGCCAGCAGCCGCGGGUAAUAACGGGGGGGGAGCAAGCGUUGUUCGGAUUUACUGGGGCCGUAAAGGGCGCGGUAGGCGGGCCCAGCGCAAGUCGGUUUGUGAAAUCUCCGGGCUUAACUCGGAACGGUUCAACUGAUAACUGCGCGGCUAGAGUGCGGAAAGGGGGCAACUGGAAUUCUCGGUGUAGCGGUGAAUGAAAUGCGUAGAUAUCGAGAGGAAACACCUGCGGCGGAAGGCGGGUUUGCUGGGCCGACACUGACGCUGAUGCGCGAAAGCCAGGGGAAGCGAACGGGAAAUUAGAUACCCCGGGUAGUCCUGGCCUUAAACGAUGGAUGCUUGGUGUCUGGAGGUUUUAUAGUCUCCGGGUGCCGUAGCUAACGCGUUUAAGCAUCCCGCCUGGGGAGAGUACGGUCGCAAGACUGAAACUCAAAGGAAAUUGACGGGGACCCGCACAAGCGGUGGGAGCCAUGUGGUUCAAUUCGACGCAACGCGAAGAACUUUACCUGGGCUAGAAAUGCCUCCGACAACCGUAGAGAUACGGUCUCCUAGGGAAACCUAGGCGGAGUGCAAGGUGCUGCAUGGCUGUCGUCAGCUCGUGUCGUGAGAUGUUGGGUUUAAGUCCCCGCAACGAGCGCAACCCCUUAUCGAUAGUUGCUAGCGGUUCGGCCCGAGCACUCUAUUGAGACUGCCGUUGACAAAACGGAGGAAGGUGGGGAUGACGUCAAGUCCUUCAUGGCCUUUAUGUCCAGGGCUACACACGUGCUACAAUUGGCAAGUACAAAGCGCUGCAAACCUGCGAAGGGGAGCCAAUCGCAAAAAAAGCUUGUCUCAGUUCGGAUUGGAAGUCUGCAACUCGACUCCAUGAAGCUGGAAAUCGCUAGUAAUCGCAGAUCAGCAUGCCUGCGGUGAAUACGUUCCCGGGGUCUUGUACACACCGCCCGUCACAUCACGAAAGUGGGUUGUACUAGAAGUCGUUCGCGCCCAACCGCAAGGAGGGCAGACGCCCACGGUAUGAUCCAUGAUUGGGGGU
rnacentral:rRNA from 1 species